rnacentral:rRNA from 1 species
GGACCCGCGUUGGAUUAGAUAGUUGGUGAGGUAAUGGCUCACCAAGUCGGCGAUCCAUAGCUGGUUUGAGAGGAUGAUCAGCCACACUGGGACUGAGACACGGCCCAGACUCCUACGGGAGGCAGCAGUGGGGAAUCUUGCACAAUGGGCGAAAGCCUGAUGCAGCCAUGCCGCGUGAAUGAUGAAGGCCUUAGGGUUGUAAAGCUCUUUUACCAGGGAUGAUAAUGACAGUACCUGGAGAAUAAGCUCCGGCUAACUCCGUGCCAGCAGCCGCGGUAAUACGGAGG